rnacentral:misc_RNA from 1 species
AACAUCGCGCACCUGCGGGAACCUGCGGAAGGAUCAUUACAGAGUUGCAAAACUCCCUAAACCAUUGUGAACGUUACCUAAACCGUUGCUUCGGCGGGCGGCCCGGGUCCUUCCCGGCGCCCAUCGGCCCUCGCGGGCGCCCGCCGGAGGUAAACCAAACUAUUGCAUUGUAUGGCCUCUCUGAGUCCUCUGUACUGAAUAAGUCAAAACUUUCAGCAAUGGAUCUCAGAUCGGAAGAGC